ACUUAGAUAGCUUAUAUAGAGCAUAACAUUGAAGCUGUUAAGGAGAUGGGUGUAUCUUUAAGUG
rnacentral:tRNA from 1 species